rnacentral:rRNA from 1 species
GAUGAACGCUGGCGGCGUGCCUAAUACAUGCAAGUCGAGCGAACAGACGAGGAGCUUGCUCCUCUGACGAUAGCGGCGGACGGGUGAGUAACACGUGGAUAACCUACCUAUAAGACUGGGAUAACUUCGGGAAACCGGAGCUAAUACCGGAUAAUAUAUUGAACCGCAUGGUUCAAUAGUGAAAGACGGUUUUGCUGUCACUUAUAGAUGGAUCCGCGCCGCAUUAGCUAGUUGGUAAGGUAACGGCUUACCAAGGCAACGAUGCGUAGCCGACCUGAGAGGGUGAUCGGCCACACUGGAACUGAGACACGGUCCAGACUCCUACGGGAGGCAGCAGUAGGGAAUCUUCCGCAAUGGGCGAAAGCCUGACGGAGCAACGCCGCGUGAGUGAUGAAGGUCUUCGGAUCGUAAAACUCUGUUAUUAGGGAAGAACAAAUGUGUAAGUAACUAUGCACGUCUUGACGGCACCUAAUCAGAAAGCCACGGCUAACUACGUG